AGUGAACGCUGGCGGUAGGCCUAACACAUGCAAGUCGAACGGCAGCACAGUAAGAGCUUGCUCUUACGGGUGGCGAGUGGCGGACGGGUGAGGAAUACAUCGUAAUCUACUUUUUCGUGGGGGAUAACGUAGGUAAACUUACGCUAAUACCGCAUACGACCUACGGGUGAAAGCAGGGGAUCUUCGGACCUUGCGCGAUUGAAUGAGCCGAUGUCGGAUUAGCUAGUUGGCGGGGUAAAGGCCCACCAAGGCGACGAUCCGUAGCUGGUCUGAGAGGAUGAUCAGCCACACUGGAACUGAGACACGGUCCAGACUCCUACGGGAGGCAGCAGUGGGGAAUAUUGGACAAUGGGCGCAAGCCUGAUCCAGCCAUACCGCGUGGGUGAAGAAGGCCUUCGGGUUGUAAAGACCUUUUGUUGGGAAAGAAAAGCAGCAGGUUAAUACCCAGCUGUUCUGACGGUACCCAAAGAAUAAGCACCGGCUAACUUCGUG
rnacentral:rRNA from 1 species